rnacentral:tRNA from 1 species
GCCCUAGUAGCUUACCUUAAAGCAUUGUUCUUGUAAACCAAAGACGGAUCACCCCCCCCUAGAGCA